rnacentral:sRNA from 1 species
ACCCAAGCGCAGGAGGUCUCUACUGCACCUGCGCGGCGCGGCGCGCGCAAACCGGGUGGCCUCCCGUGGUUCCUCCCUUCAGCCUGGGUCCCUCUGGGCAUCUGUGCGGCCUACGCUUUCCG